rnacentral:rRNA from 1 species
AUGAGUAACACAACCAUCUCCAUCAUGAACUGCAACGUCCGUGGCCUGAAUUUGCCGGCCAAGAGAGCCACCAUCUGUGAGGUUGUCAAUGCUAAUAGUCUAACACUUCUCUGUUUGCAAGAGACCAAGAUCGACGCCUGGACACCGGGAAUCGUAAGAGAGAUCGGAGGCAGCCGUCUUGACAACUGCUAUGUGCUUUCGUUGGUGGGCACUCGCGGCGGGGCAGCGACCUUCUGGGAGUCCUCCAAGGUCACCAUUGCCACACAAGCGGUUGGGCAGUUCUCCAUCACCGCCAGCGCCUCCGUGCUACACAGCAACCUCUCUUUUUGGAUCACAACUGUGUCCGACCCAGGCAAUGACGCCAGGAAAGAUGAGUUCCUUGACGAGAUGAUUAGAAUCAGGCCACCCCAAGGCGAGCCGUGGCUGAUCAAUAGGGACUUUAACAUCAUCUACGAGGCAAGAGACAAGAGCAACCACAACCUCAACAUAAGAGUAAUGGGCAGAUUCAGAGAUGCCAUUGAUAGAGUUAAUCUUAGAGAGAUCAGAUGUAAAAACAGGCGUUUCACCUGGAGCAAUGAGAGGGAAAACCCAACUUUUUUGCGAUUGACAAAGUUUUCUGCAUUCAGGAGUGGGAAGCAUUAUUUCCCUCAUACAUUCUUAUGGCUUCUUCCACUUCUUGCUCUGACCACUACCCCCUGUUACUGA